rnacentral:rRNA from 1 species
AGCGAAUCGCUAAAAGACCGUCCCACGUUCGGAUUGCAGGCUGCAACCCGCCUGCAUGAAGUUGGAAUCGCUAGUAAUCGCGGAUCAGCAUGCCGCGGUGAAUACGUUCCCGGGCCUUGUACACACCGCCCGUCACACCAUGAGAGUCGGGAACACCCGAAGUCCGUAGCCUGACCGCAAGGGGGGCGCGGCCGAAGGUGGGUUCGAUAAUUGGGGUGAAGUCGUAACAAGGUAAC